ensembl:lncRNA
GUUCUCCUGUCCCUACUCUCUUAUUUCCUGGAAUUCACCUUGUUUUACUAAUAAGUAGUAUGCUAAAGUAGAGCACUAGUCUGAGACCUGGAUUAGAAACCCAGUUCUCCACUUGCUCUCCUUAUCACCUUUAGAAGUCAUUUAACUGGGUUCAAAUCAAGAACACAUGUGAUAGAUACCCAGUGGAAUCGCCUGUUGGCUAUGGGAUAGGUGGGGGAAGGAAAAGAAAAUGAUCUUUGUCUCCAAUGAAUAAUGUUCGGAAAUGACCAAAUAAAAUAACGUUUAAAAAAAAAAAAGAAGUCAUUUAACUAAUCUGGGCUUCACUUUUCUCAUUUGUAGAACUGAGUUUAAACUAGAUGGAUUCUAAGGUUCCUUCCAGCUCUGACAGUCUCUGAUUCUUCACAGAUGGUUCCCCACUUCCAUUCUAACCUUUUGCCUAACUAUCAUAUGCUCUUUAUAAUAUCUCCAUUCAAAGGUUGAUCACACUGAACUGCAUGUUUUUUUUUUAAUCAUAUCUUAAAAAUAGUAGAGAUUAUAUUAGGGACAUCACAACACUGGCUGUGGUGUCAGAGGAGCUGGAUUCAAAUACUGCCUCUGAUGCAGUGUAACCUUGUGUGAUCUACCUACUUGUGUAAUUUUGAACACAUCAUUUAACCUCCUAAGCCUCACUUUCCUCAUCUGUUAAAUGAGGGUGUUGGACUAUAUAGCCCUUGAGGUGCCUUCCAGCUCUAGAGCUGUCUUAACAGGUAUCAAUUGGAAGGCAGAAGGUUUCCACUGGAUGGCACAGUGCAUAUAAUACCAAGACUGGUGUCAGGAAGACCUUAAGUCACCUUGGGGCCAUGGGGAAAGGUGGAGCUCACCUGAGA